rnacentral:rRNA from 1 species
UACGGGGGGAGCAAGCGUUGUUCGGAUUUACUGGGCGUAAAGGGCGCGUAGGCGGCCACUGCAAGUCGGUUGUGAAAUCUCCGGGCUUAACCCGGAAAGGUCAAUCGAUACUGCAGGGCUAGAGUGCAGAAGGGGCAACUGGAAUUCUCGGUGUAGCGGUGAAAUGCGUAGAUAUCGAGAGGAACACCUGCGGCGAAGGCGGGUUGCUGGGCUGACACUGACGCUGAAGCGCGAAAGCUAGAGGAGCGAACGGG